rnacentral:lncRNA from 1 species
AAAAACUGAGGUGGAUACCGCCACACCAAAGGCUACUGGGAAAAGAGGAUUUGCAGAGACUGUUGAUUUGAAGCUUAACCUUCAGGCAAAGGAUGGUGUCAUGGAUCUGAAUGAUAAUCUCAAGAAUGCUUCUAAGGACAAGAACCACCUUCCUGCUGCUACCAUCAAGGACCCGGCCAAGCCACCAGCCAAGUGAGUCCUUUUUUUCCUAUUUUUUUCCUCCGUAAGCUCCUCAAUUUAAAGAUAAUUGUAGCAUUAUUAUACAUAUGCACUAGUAUUAAUUGAUAAAAAGGAAAUUAAAGAGAUGUGUAAUGGAUUUCAGGGCACAAGUUGUGGGUUGGCCACCAGUUAGAUCUUACAGAAAGAACAUUAUGGCGCAGAAAAACAGCAGCGAGGAAGGUGAGAAAGCAAGCGGCAAUAGCGCAGCAUUUGUGAAGGUUUGCAUGGAUGGUGCACCUUAUCUUCGUAAGGUAGACCUGAAGAUGUACAAAAGC